CGCUGGCGAUUUUGACGAGAUUUGUUUUGUUAGUUAAAAGACACGACUUGGCUUUGUUUUCGUUGUUGUUGUUGUUGUUGUUGCUGAUUGUUGUUGUUUGUUGUCUUUUGCAUAACCAAGCCAUGAAAUUCGCGCUUGGAAUUUUGACGAGUCAGUGGACGGUAAAAGAAAAACAACAACUGAGGACAGACGCCAAAUUGUAUUUAGUUUUCUAUUAUUAAUAUUACCAAAGCGAUUUCUUGCACAUGUUGUUAAACUUUCCAAGCCUGCCUCACGUACAUAUUAAACAAAAGUUAUACGACGAAAAUGCCUCGAGCUAUGGGCGAACUACGAAAAUCAAAUCCCAUAGUCAAAAAACAAAUCCAAACCCAACAGUUGUGCCAAUAUUUGCAGACCUCACUGUUUGCCUUUGUCUCUGUGUGUAUUCAUAUUCUAUAAAGUUAAUAACAAUUAGACUUAAGUGUUAAUUAUUUUGUUGCAAUUUGAAUAAGCGUGUGAAUGAAUAAGUCGAGACUUUGCUUUUACAGAGAGUGCACGCAGCUAAUGCAUUGGGAAUUGCCCCCAAAACGUGAGCG